rnacentral:rRNA from 1 species
GAUGAACGCUGGCGGCGUGCCUAAUACAUGCAAGUCGAGCGAACGGACGAGAAGCUUGCUUCUCUGAUGUUAGCGGCGGACGGGUGAGUAACACGUGGAUAACCUACCUAUAAGACUGGGAUAACUUCGGGAAACCGGAGCUAAUACCGGAUAAUAUUUUGAACCGCAUGGUUCAAAAGUGAAAGACGGUCUUGCUGUCACUUAUAGAUGGAUCCGCGCUGCAUUAGCUAGUUGGUAAGGUAACGGCUUACCAAGGCAACGAUGCAUAGCCGACCGGAGAGGGUGAACGGCCACACUGGAACUGAGACACGGUCCAGACUCCUACGGGAGGAAGCAGUAGGGAAUCUUCCGCAAUGAGCGAAAGCCUGAAGGAGCAACGCCGCGUGAGUGAUGAAGGUCUUCGGAUCCUAAAACUCUGUUAUUAGGGAAGAACAUAUGUGUAAGUAACUGUGCACAUCUUGACGGUACCUAAUCAGAGAGGCACGGCUAACUACGUG